AGUGAACGCUGGCGGUAGGCCUAACACAUGCAAGUCGAACGGCAGCACAGUAAGAGCUUGCUCUUACGGGUGGCGAGUGGCGGACGGGUGAGGAAUACAUCGGAAUCUACUUUUUCGUGGGGGAUAACGUAGGGAAACUUACGCUAAUACCGCAUACGACCUACGGGUGAAAGCAGGGGAUCUUCGGACCUUGCGCGAUUGAAUGAGCCGAUGUCUGAUUAGCUAGUUGGCGGGGUAAAGGCCCACCAAGGCGACGAUCCGUAGCUGGUCUGAGAGGAUGAUUCGCCACACUGGAACUGAGACACGGUCCAGACUCCUACGGGAGGCAGCAGUGGGGAAUAUUGGACAAUGGGCGCAAGCCUGAUCCAGCCAUACCGCGUGGGUGAAGAAGGCCUUCGGGUUGUAAAGCCCUUUUGUUGGGAAAGAAAAGCAGCAGGUUAAUACCCCGCUGUUCUGACGGUACCCAAAGAAUAAGCACCGGCUAACUUCGUG
rnacentral:rRNA from 1 species